UCUUCCCUCUUUCUUCGUGCCUAAUACAUGCAAGUCGAGCGAACAGAUGAGGAGCUUGCUCCUCUGACGUUAGCGGCGGACGGGUGAGUAACACGUGGAUAACCUACCUAUAAGACUGGGAUAACUUCGGGAAACCGGAGCUAAUACCGGAUAAUAUAUUGAACCGCAUGGUUCAAUAGUGAAAGACGGUUUUGCUGUCACUUAUAGAUGGAUCCGCGCCGCAUUAGCUAGUUGGUAAGGUAACGGCUUACCAAGGCAACGAUGCGUAGCCGACCUGAGAGGGUGAUCGGCCACACUGGAACUGAGACACGGUCCAGACUCCUACGGGAGGCAGCAGUAGGGAAGCUUCCGCAAUGGGCGAAAGCCUGACGGAGCAACGCCGCGUGAGUGAUGAAGGUCUUCGGAUCGUAAAACUCUGUUAUUAGGGAAGAACAAAUGUGUAAGUAACUAUGCACGUCUUGACGGUACCUAAUCAGAAAGCCACGGCUAACUACGUG
rnacentral:rRNA from 1 species